UAUAUUUGACAAUUGGCGAAAGCCUCAUCCAGCCUUGCCUCGUGUGUGAAGAAGGUACUCGGAUUGUAUAUCACUUUUAGUUGGGAGGAAGGGCAGUACGCCACUACCUCGUUGUUUUGAGUUUACCAAUAGAUUAAGCACCGGCUAACUUCGUGCUAGCAGCCGUGUUAAUACGAAGGGUGCAAGCGUUAAUCGGAAUUACUGAGCGUAAAGCGCGCGUAGGUGGUUCGUUAAGUUAGGAGUGGAAGCCCCGGGCUUAACCUGAUAAUUGCUUUCAAAACUGACGAGCUAGAGUACGGUAAAGGGUAGUGGAAUUUCCUGUGUAGCGGUGAAAUGCGUAGGUAUAGGAAGGAACACCAGUGGCGAAGGCGACCGCCUGGGAUAAUACUGACACUGAGGUGCGAAAACGUGGAGAGCAAACAGG
rnacentral:rRNA from 1 species